ACCAGACUCCUACGGGAGGCAGCAGUGGGGGAUAUUGCACAAUGGGGGGAACCCUGAUGCAGCGACGCCGCGUGGGUGAAGAAGCGCCUCGGCGCGUAAAGCCCUGUCAGCAGGGAAGAAAAUGACGGUACCUGAAGAAGAAGCCCCGGCUAACUACGUGCCAGCAGCCGCGGUAAUACGUAGGGGGCAAGCGUUAUCCGGAUUUACUGGGUGUAAAGGGGGCGCAGACGGCGAUGCAAGCCAGGAGUGAAAGCCCGGGGCCCAACCCCGGGACUGCUCUUGGAACUGCGUGGCUGGAGUGCAGGAGGGGCAGGCGGAAUUCCUAGUGUAGCGGUGAAAUGCGUAGAUAUUAGGAGGAACACCAGUGGCGAAGGCGGCCUGCUGGACUGCAACUGACGUUGAGGCUCGAAGGCGUGGGGAGCAAACAGGAUUAGAUACCCGGGUACG
rnacentral:rRNA from 1 species